AGCAGCCGCGGUAAUUCCAGCUCCAAUAGCGUAUAUUAAAGUUGUUGCAGUUAAAAAGCUCGUAGUUGAAUUUUGGGUUUGGCGUAUUGGUCCGUUCUUGUAACGAGUACUGAUAUGUUGGGCCUCACCGCUUGGUGAUGCGUGAUGUCCUUUAUUGGGUGUUGCGAGUAGCCAAGACCUUUACCUUGAAAAAUUAGAGUGUUUAAAGCAGGCAUAUGCCGGAAUACAUUAGCAUGGAAUAAUAGAAUAGGACAACGAUUCUAUUUUGUUGGUUUCUAGGACCGUUGUAAUGAUUAAUAGGGAUAGUUGGGGGCAUUAGUAUUCAAUUGUCAGAGGUGAAAUUCUUGGAUUUAUUGAAGACUAACUACUGCGAAAGCAUUUGCCAAGGAUGUUUUCAUUAAUCAAGAACGAAAGUUAGGGGAUCGAAGACGAUCAGAUACCGUCGUAGUC
rnacentral:rRNA from 1 species